GUUUGUGGCUCAGUGGUAGAGAGUUUGCCUAGCACGCAUGAGGCACUGGGUUCAAUCCUCAGCACUACA
rnacentral:tRNA from 1 species